CAGACACUGAGUGUGGCAGGACUACCCGC
rnacentral:rRNA from 1 species